CUGAGACUGACUCUCAGGCUGAAAUGAAGGCAGACCACGUGAAUUGCAAAGAGGACUGCAAUAUCAAAAGUACAUCUGAUAAUGCAGCACAUGCACACUAUGGAAAUGAGAAUGGGGAGAAGAGACUGCUCAGAGUGGAGGGAAAUCAGGAGAAUUCUGCACUGGAAACGAAAGGAAUAGAUGAAGCAAAAAAGACAAAACCAGAAGAUCUAACAGCAAGGGAAGAUACUAGAAUUUUUUAUGAAAACAUAAUGGCAAUUCAGCAUCAAAAUCCUGAGGUUAAUGGGGAAUUCAAACAGACUGGGUCAGGAGGAAGUGAGAUGAAUGAGGAGGAGGAAUGUCCUCCAAUGCCUUGGGAAAGCAGGGUGUUGAGCAUGGAGGAUGGCAACCAGGAGUGUCCUUGGAGUGGGGAAGGAGGUGUUUCUGAAGACUGCAAACCAGUCCAGGAGGAAAUAGCAAAAGCAACCAGAAAGGAUCAUCCUGUGAGUUCUGACCCUGAGUCUGGUGAUUUGUGUGCCAACGAGGAAGAAAAGAACACAGCAAAUACAGAGUGUGGUGCCAGAGGAGCACCGGAUGGAAGGUUCCCGGCAGGAGGGAGGAGACGCCUGGAUGUGCAGGAGGCAGCAGGACAGGCGGUGCGAGCAGGGGAGGUGACAGAGCCGGGACAAGCCCUGGAGCAGGACGGGGCUGCUGAGGGAGAAGCUGGCAGCGGAAAGGCUGCAGGAAAAGCUGCUGAGGGAGAUGCUGGCAGCGGUGCGGCCGCAAGAAAAGCUGCAGGGGCGGGGGCUGCACUGUCCCAGGCAGGCACGGGGGAUGCUCUGGCCCAGGCAGGCACGGGGGAUGCUCUGUCCCAGGCAGGCACGGGGGAUGCACUGCCCCAGGCAGGCACGGGGGAUGCGCUGGAGGAAUCCGCACCUGAGGAGGGCACUGUGGCAUGGGAACAGCCCAAAGAAAAGGGGACAGGGGAGGCAGAGGAGCUGGGCACAGAGGGGUCACCUGGGGAGCAGGAGGUGCUGGUGGAGGGGAUGGACAGAGAGGUGGCACUGCGAAAGGCAGCAGCUGGGGCACUGCCAGGAUGGGAGGCAGACAGAGCCGUGCCCCAGGGGCAGGACGGGGCUGGGGGCACCAGUGAGGAGGAGGCUGCAGAAGAAGGCCUCGAAGGAGCAGUAGGGCUGGCAGCAGAGGAGGAGGUGGGUGAGCCAGGGUCAGAGGCAGGGGAGUCCCUGGGGCAGGGAGGGUCUGCAGGGAAGGACACGGUGGUGGGUGCUGUGUCAGAGGGAGAGGAGCCUGUGGAGGAUGCUGAUGCGGCAGCAGAUGGGAAUGCCAGAGCCGCGGGCCCUGAAGGAAAAAAGGCUGUUAAAGAAGACUUUUCUGAAGGGGAGGAGGCUAUGAGUAAGCCUGGGGUUCUCUGGGAAGCACUAGGGGAUAUGGAAACAGGAGAAGCAAUGCCUGGAGGAGAAGGGUUUGUGAAGCCAAGUCAGUUUUCCCAGCUGAAAGAGUCAGAGGAAGAGUGGAUGGAGAUGGGGAAAGCUGUCCCAGGAGCUGCAGCAGCACUUGAGAGUGCUCAGACUCUCCAGAGAGUGGAGGACACGAUGGAAGAGUCUGUGGAGCCUGACAAGGGUCCUGUACUGGAAGUGGCACCUGGGUUAGGGGCACUGGGGGCUGCUCGGGGGGAUCCUGUCACUGAAGGGUCAUCACAGGUGGAGGAGACUCUGGCAGUGCAGGAGGAGGAGGAGGGUGCAGCAGAAGCACUUUGGAGUGGAAACCCAUCUGAGGGCAGCAAAGCAGAGACAGAGAGAGCAGUGGAAGGAAAACCCGAAGGAGAGGCGGUGGGAGGGUCUGCAGGGGCGGCCGGAGCGGGCUCGGGGGAGGAAGAGGAGACCACAGCU
ensembl:lncRNA